GACGAAGGGGGCUAGCGUUGUUCGGAAUUACUGGGCGUAAAGCGCGUGUAGGCGGUUGUUCAAGUCAGGUGUGAAAGCCUUGAGCUCAACUCAAGAAAUGCACUUGAUACUGGAUGACUAGAGGACCGGAGAGGAUAGUGGAAUUCCCAGUGUAGUGGUGAAAUACGUAGAGAUUGGGAAGAACACCAGUGGCGAAGGCGGGUCUCUGGACAGUUCCUGACGCUGAGGCACGAAGGUCAGGGAGCAAACGGG
rnacentral:rRNA from 1 species